GUAGCGGUGAAAUGCAUAGAUAUCAUACAGAACACCAAUAGCGAAGGCAGGAUGCUAAAUCUUCACUGACGCUGAGGCACGAAAGCGUGGGUAGCAAACAGGAUUAGAUACCCUGGUAGUCCACGCCCUAAACUAUGAUCACUAGCUAUUGGAAAAAUUAUAUUCAGUGGCCAAGCUAAAGCGAUAAGUGAUCCACCUGGGAAGUACGAUCGCAAGAUUGAAACUCAAAGGAAUUGACGGGGUUUCGCACAAGCGGUGGAGCAUGUGGUUUAAUUCGAUGAUACGCGAGGAACCUUACCAAGGUUUAAAUGUAUUACGAAUAAGCUGGAAACAACUUAGUCUAUAAGACGUAAUACAAGGUGCUGCAUGGUUGUCUUCAGUUCGUGCUGUGAAGUGUUUGGUUAAGUCCUAUAACGAGCGCAACCCUUAUUGUUAGUUGCCAUCGGGUAAAGCCGGGGACUCUAACAAAACUGCCGGUGUAAAUCGAGAGGAAGGUGGGGAUAAUGUCAAAUCAUCAUGGCCUUUAUGCCUUGGGCUACACACGUGCUACAAUGGCUGGUACAAAGGGCAGCCACUGGGUGACCAGGAGCUAAUCUCUAAAACCAGUCUAAGUUCUGAUUGAAGUCUGCAAUUCGACUUUAUGAAGAUGGAAUCGCUAGUAA
rnacentral:rRNA from 1 species